GCAGUAGCCGCGGUAAUACGUAGGUGGCAAGCGUUGUCCGGAAUUAUUGGGCGUAAAGGGCUCGCAGGCGGUUUCUUAAGUCUGAUGUGAAAGCCCCCGGCUCAACCGGGGAGGGUCAUUGGAAACUGGGAAACUUGAGUGCAGAAGAGGAGAGUGGAAUUCCACGUGUAGCGGUGAAAUGCGUAGAGAUGUGGAGGAACACCAGUGGCGAAGGCGACUCUCUGGUCUGUAACUGACGCUGAGGAGCGAAAGCGUGGGGAGCGAACAGGAUUAGAUACCCGUGUAGUCCCUGUCUCUUAUAC
rnacentral:rRNA from 1 species